rnacentral:rRNA from 1 species
UACGUAGGUGGCAAGCGUUACUCGGAAUCACUAGGCGUAAAGCGCAGGUAGGCGGUUUGAUAAGUCUGUUGUGAAAGCUCCCGGCUCAACUGGGAGAGGCCAACGGAAACUGUCAGGCUUGAGUGUGGUAGAGGAAACUGGAAUUCCUGGUGUAGCGGUGAAAUGCGUAGAUAUCAGGAGGAACACCGGAGGCGAAAGCGGUCCACUGGGCAACUUCUGACGCUGAGGUGCGAAAGCUAGGGUAGCAAACGGG